GUUUCCAUAGUGUAGCGGUUAUCAUGUUCACCUCACACGCAAAAGGUCCCUGGUUCGAUACCGGGUGGGAACA
rnacentral:tRNA from 1 species